rnacentral:lncRNA from 1 species
UUUUGAAAAAUAUUGUUCUACAUUGUAGAAUUUUAUUCUCAUUAGUAAGAUAUAAAUGUGUGGCUAAUUUAAAAAUACCUAGACCAGGCUGGGCACGGUGGCUCAUACCUGUAAUCUCAGCACUUUGGGAGGCCGAGGUCACUUCCCAUGGAAACAGAGAUAGGGGCAUUAUCUUCCCCGAUGUUCCUGUUUCAAAGAAAAGAGAUGGCCCCCGGGUUCUUGAG